GAUGAACGCUGGCGGCGUGCCUAAUACAUGCAAGUCGAGCGAACAGACGCUGAGCUUUCUCCUCUGACGUGAGCGGCGGGCGAGUGAUUAGCACGUGGAUAACCUACCUAUAAGACUGAGAUAACUGCGUGAAACCGGAGCUAAUACCGUUUGAUAUAUUGAACCGCAGGGUUCAAUAGUUAAAUACGGUUUUGCUGUCACGUAUAUAUGGAUCCGCGCCGCAUUAGCUAGUUGGUAAGGUAACGGCUUGCCAAGGCAACGAUGCAUAGCCGACAUGAGAGGGUGAUCGUCUACACUGGAACUGAGACACGUCACAGACUCCUAAGGGAGGACGCAGUCGGGACUCUUACGCAAUGGACGAAAGCCUGAUGGAGCAACGCCGGGUGAGUGAUGAAGGUCCUAGGAUCGUAAAACUCUGUUAUUAGGGAAGAACAAAUGUGCAAUUAACUAUGCACGUCUUGACGGUAACUAAUCAGAAAGCAACGGCUAACUACGUG
rnacentral:rRNA from 1 species